UUGCCAGCCCGCUCAGAAACUACAAGGAAGUUGACGGGGCCCGCACAAGCGGAGGAGCAUGUGGUUUAAUUCGAUGAUACGCGAGGAACCUUACCUGGGCUCGAACGUAAGAUGACUGUAGGUGAAAGCUUACAUCUCUUCGGAGCAUUUUACGAGGUGCUGCAUGGUUGUCGUCAGCUCGUGCCGUGAGGUGUCGGGUUAAGUCCCAUAACGAGCGCAACCCCUACCUUUAGUUGCCAUCAGGUAAUGCUGGGGACUCUAAAGGAACUGCCUACGCAAGUAGUGAGGAAGGCGGGGAUGACGUCAAAUCAGCACGGCCCUUACGUCCAGGGCUACACACGUGCUACAAUGGCCGAUACAGAGGGCAGCUACCUGGUGACAGGAUGCAAAUCUCCAAAGUCGGUCUCAGUUCGGAUCGGAGUCUGCAACCCGACUCCGUGAAGUUGGGUUCGCUAGUAAUCGCGCAUCAGCCAUGGCGCGGUGAAUACGUUCCCGGGCCUU
rnacentral:rRNA from 1 species